rnacentral:rRNA from 1 species
GACGUAGGAGGCGAGCGUUGUCCGGAUUCAUUGGGCGUAAAGAGCGCGCAGGCGGCUUGGUAAGUCGGAUGUGAAAUCCCGAGGCUCAACCUCGGGUCUGCAUCCGAUACUGCCCGGCUAGAGGUAGGUAGGGGAGAUCGGAAUUCCUGGUGUAGCGGUGAAAUGCGCAGAUAUCCGGAAGAACACCGGUGGCGAAGGCGGUCUGCUGGGCAGUAGCUGACACUGAGGCGCGACAGCGUGGGGAGCAAACAGG